rnacentral:rRNA from 1 species
GACAGAGGCCUCAAGCGUUAGGCGGAAUCACUGGGCUUAAAGCGUGUGUAGGCGGGUCGUUAAGUACCUUGUGAAAUCCCACGGCUCAACCGUGGAACUGCUGGGUAUACUGGGGUGUCUUGGGUCAGCUAGGGGUUGCCGGAACAAAUGGUGGAGCGGUGAAAUGCGUAGAUAUCAGUCGGAACACCGGUGGCGAAGGCGGCUUCUUGGGCCCUACCUGACGCCUGAGGCGCGAAAGCCAGGGGAGCGAACGGG